rnacentral:rRNA from 1 species
UUGACAUCCAGCGAACUUUCCAGAGAUGGAUUGGGUGCCUUCGGGAACGCUGAGACAGGUGCUGCAUGGCUGUCGUCAGCUCGUGUUGUGAAAUGUUGGGUUAAGUCCCGNGACGAGCGCAACCCUUAUCCUUUGUUGCCAGCGAUUCGGUCGGGAACUCAAAGGAGACUGCCGGUGAUAAACCGGAGGAAGGUGGGGAUGACGUCAAGUCAUCAUGGCCCUUACGAGUAGGGCUACACACGUGCUACAAUGGCGCAUACAAAGAGAAGCGACCUCGCGAGAGCAAGCGGACCUCAUAAAGUGCGUCGUAGUCCGGAUCGGAGUCUGCAACUCGACUCCGUGAAGUCGGAAUCGCUAGUAAUCGUGGAUCAGAAUGCCACGGUGAAUACGUUCCCGGGCCUUGUACACACCGCCCGUCACACCAUGGGAGUGGGUUGCAAAAGAAGUAGGUAGCUUAACCUUCGGGAGGGCGCUUACCACUUUGUGAUUCAUGACUGGGGUGAAGUCGUAACAAGGUAAGCGUAGCGAG